UCUCAGAUGGUAAAGCAUCUGCCUGCAAUGCACUAGACCCAGGUUCAAUCCCUGGUUUGGGAA
rnacentral:tRNA from 1 species